rnacentral:lncRNA from 1 species
UAAAAUUGUAACUCACUUUUAAAUAUAUUCUUUCAAGAUAAAAUAAUUUAGGAUGAAGGACAAUUUUCGACAUGUGUAGGAUAAAUUUUAAUAUGCGUAGGGUAAAUUUCGGUAAGUGUAAGAUAUAUGUAGGAUAAAUUUUGAAAUAUGUAGGAUAAAAUGUUUUUUGCUUUAUUAAUGAGAGAUAACAUAAUUAAUGGGGGGAGUUAUAAACUAUUUAAUGUUUUAUCAUUAUGCAGUUUCUUCUUUUUCUUCUCACAUUAAAUUUUCUUCUCAAAUGAACCUUACCUAAUAAAAAUCAUGAUAUCUUGUGAGUCAUCAUCUUAGAAUAAAUGUGAAAACCGUAAUUGUUGAUAGUUGAUAGGUACCACUGCAAAUUUAAAAACAAAUAUGUAUCUAGAAUUAAAGGGCACACCUUUUCCUUUUUAUGAAAAUAAAUUCGGAAUUGGUGGCGCCCGAAAAAAUUCCUUCAUAUCAUAAUAAGUGCUUAAAAGAAAUAUAGUAUAUGUAGCCUAUGUGUCACAUGUCGGAUUGCGGCCGGAUUGAACCACCACUAGAAGGUUGCUAAAUAUACUGUAUUGGCUGAAGCUUACGUGUCACAUAUUGAGUUGCAACUUAGCUGAAACACCACUGAGUGAAGUUGUAUAUGAGAAACAAUAUCAUCAAUUCCAUAGAAUGUUUAAUUUUAAAUACAUGUAGGUUUUUGUUUGAUGUGGUAGGAAAAUCUAAAUAAUUAAACUUGUGCCUUAAUAGUUUGAUACGAGAUUAGGUAGAACUAUAAAUCUUGAGUGUGAGAUCCUUAAAUUGAAUGUCAACUUGAACUUAAUAUAUGAAUGGGAGCCUAAUUGUCUGGUGGUUGGGUUUAGAUGGAUAACCAAUAGUUGCGGCUAGUUUUUUUUUGGACGGUAGGAUUUUAUGAUUAUAGAAUAGUUGCGGUUAGUGUAUGAGUAUAUCUUCAAUGAAAUAACCUAAUGUUUUUGAAAGCCAUAUAUUUUGAUUGUGAUUCCAUUGCAGCUUUUUCAGGGACGAAAAUCGUUGAAGUGUGGGGAGAUUUGAUGUGUUGCUAAAUACCGUCACGUUAUUUAUCUAUAUCCAUGUGCAAAAUGGAGCAAAAACGAGCUGAAACGGUAACCAAACGAGCAACCGGGAGAAAGGAUAGAAGUGCAGGGUCCUAAACUAUAAUUUCUGAAGAAAUGUAGGGGUACCGCGUCAUGAGAAAGGAUCCUAGGGUGUGUUGCACAUCGCCUAGGGUUAUAAGAACACGUGAAAUACCCUUAAUGAAAUAAGGGUAUUUAUCCUUGUGUCGUCGCUUCAGUUCUUUAUCUUUCUAUGCCAUAAGAAUAUCGCGAGGCCGGGUUCCAUUUGGAUCGCGAUACGUGAGACGUGUAUUAAACAAAACAAACGUAUUUGAGUUGGAUUUAUGUCACACCCCGAUAUUUCCACAUGUUACCGGUGGGCCCGGCUGGGAGUAUCGUGACGUAGUUGAUAUCAUCAUAGUCAAAUAUACACAGUUUAUAGCACAGCAGAAGUCUUGGUAGAAAUUACUAUUAUAAACCGAAAGUGUAAAGUACGAAUAAAAUAAUAUACAGACGGUUGUAAGAAAGGAUCCACAGGCGGAUCUAAAACAUAAUAUAAAACAUU